CGUAGGGUGCAAGCGUUAAUCGGAAUUACUGGGCGUAAAGCGUGCGCAGGCGGUUAUAUAAGACAGACUGUGAAAUCCCCGGGACUCAACCUGGGGAACCGCAUUUGUGACUGUAUAGCUAGAGUACGGUAGAGGGGGAUGGAAUUCCGCGUGUAGCAGUGAAAUGCGUAGAUAUGCGGAGGAACACCGAUGGCGAAGGCAAUCCCCUGGACCUGUACUGACGCUCAUGCACGAAAGCGUGGGGAGCAAACAGGAUUAGAUACCCCGGUAGUCCACGCCCUAAACGAUGUCAACUGGUUGUUGGGUCUUCACUGACUCAGUAACGAAGCUAACGCGUGAAGUUGACCGCCUGGGGAGUACGGCCGCAAGGUUG
rnacentral:rRNA from 1 species